AAGUCGUAACAAGGUUUCCGUAGGUGAACCUGCGGAAGGAUCAUUACAGUAAAAACAAGGUCGCGCGCAGUUGCUGGUCCUCCGGGGCAUGUGCACGCCGCGUCCGCAUCCUUCUCACACCCCUGUGCACCUUUGCGUGGGGUGCCGUUUGGCUUUCGCCUUCGGUGCUCCGCGUCUUACACACACCACGUAUGUCUUCAGAAUGUCUACUUGCGAUAAAAAGCAAAUUAAAUACAACUUUCAACAACGGAUCUCUUGGCUCUC
rnacentral:misc_RNA from 1 species